rnacentral:rRNA from 1 species
UACGAAGGGUGCAAGCGUUACUCGGAAUUACUGGGCGUAAAGCGUGCGUAGGUGGUUUGUUAAGUCUGAUGUGAAAGCCCUGGGCUCAACCUGGGAAUUGCAUUGGAUACUGGCAGGCUAGAGUGCGGUAGAGGAUGGCGGAAUUCCCGGUGUAGCAGUGAAAUGCGUAGAGAUCGGGAGGAACAUCUGUGGCGAAGGCGGCGACCUGGACAGGUACUGACACUCAACUACGAAAGCGUGGGGAGCAAACAGG